UGUCUCUAAUGUGCCUGUUGAAUAAGACGCCGCUCUCUUGCUCCUGCUCUUUCUCUCCGUCUCGUGUGCUCUUUGUUGUUUUCUCUUCUAUUCUUUAGUGUCUGUAGUCUCUGAUAACAAUGUGCAGUCAUUACACACACACACACACACACACACUCCCUCCCUCUCUCGCAAUUCAUUACUUCAAUUAUCUUGUCCUAAAAAUUUAUUUUAAAAAAUUCUAUAUAGUGAAAUCCUCUGAUUACUAUUAUGUUGAGUUCCUAAUGCCUUGAUUUCAGUCUUUUUAUUUAAUCUCUGUAAGAUCAGCGAAGACGCUCCUUAAAAACACAAAAGACACUUUUUUUUUUUUAGUCUUGUCCACGGUGUGUAAAAACAGAUGUUAAAAACGAGCAGUGAAAAGUUAAGUGUGUGCUUCAGAUUUCUUUUUCCACAACAGUGUAACGGCAGAUCAGCUGCAUGAACGGUUUCAAAACUGUGGAACAACGAUUCGUUUGUUGAUUCGUUCGUUAUAAUAAUAAACAGCACAAGUUAAGAAAAGUGUUUUCGGUAUGAACUGAACGUCCACUGGGAUGUAACCAGGAAUGCUUAGACACGCCACACAGUGAAUAUCUAUGCGUCUGGUCUAAAGCUCACCCACUCUUGAGCGUUACUUCUGCUUUUCAAACCUUACUGCUUACUCACAGCUGCACAGUGUGCGCAUGAACACCAGAGUGACACCACUACAAGUCAAAGCAGGCCAGUGUUACACUGCAUUAAGCUCCUUAUAAGCUCCUUUAUAAGAACGUGGCUCAGAUUCGUUUUGCCGAGUUACCCCCCCACGGACGCGUAAAAAUAAAGCCGUUAACGUGAGCGAAUGCGUGAGUUUGCAUUAGUGAGCUGCAUUAUGGGUCGCGUGUGCUCAUUGGGAGAGCGCCGCAGGAGGUGAUGAGCUGACUGCGUGCUCAUCACUCGCUUUUAAGAGUUCAUUUAUCGGUUAUUAUGGAGAACGAAGGGGCGAGAUUUAAUUCAGAUAGCGCACUGUGAAGCACUUGGUUUUGUGCAGGAUUCUGCCAGAACAUCAACUCAGGACAUUUAUGGUGUGUGUUUUAGAAUCGACUCAUUCAGAAACCGAAUAGCAGCAGUGAGAUGUUACCUUACAUGGUGUAUACUCAAAAAGCACCUCGAGGGCUCUCCGGGUGAGGAACUCGAAACUAUAUAAUUCAUUAUAUAUAAUCUCUACACCACUUAUCACGGUUAAAUAACUAGAUAGUUGCAAACAACAAAAAAAUAACCGCUGUAGUGUCUAUUUUUUUAAGACCCAUUUUGAAGCUUUGGGGCAAACUUAACACUUCAGAGCGAAAUUGAACACAGUGUUAGACACACUAAACACCUGACAAGAUUCCAUGCUGCCAUGGUUCAUAACUGUACUUAUUCAGAGUGAGUGAAUGUGAGUCAGUGUGUCUGGACAUGAAGCAGUGAUCAUGCCGAGUAUGAAAUUCGGCCGUGUGGUCCAUCAGACGUGGAAAUUCAUCAGCAGAAAUGAACAAGAUCAGAAGAAGCUCAUGGCGACUUUCAGAGGAAAUAAACUACUCUAUCCUUCUUCAUUUUCAGUUCAUUUCAUCUUUACCGCCAAUAAGGUAGUAAUUAAUGUUACUGAACUGUUCAUUAGGUGCAGCGUCCGGUUGUUUCUGAUGAACACUAGCAGCCUUUAAACUGAAAAUAAGUUACUAGAAGCAUCGGCCAUAUUGUGCAGGUUUAUACUAACUGCAAUAAGCCGAGUAGGACACUGAUGAUGAUGAUGAUGAUGAGUUAACUCUGCAAAGAUUAUCACCAUGUUAGUGUCAUCGACAUGCAUACAAAGUCUAGUUCCUAGUAACAGAAACAGUGCUUGUGAUGUAGAAAAUUUCAAUUCCAGAAAGCAGAACUGCAAAAAAAUUCAAUUUGUAGAAAUCUGAGCUGUAGAAUUCUCAGAAAUUUGAAAAAUUUGGUCUGGAGAAUUUUGGGUUGGGGAAAUUUAAGGUACAGAAAUGUGAAUUGUACACGUGAGAACAUUUCAAGAAUAGACCUUGAAUGAAAGUCCAAUACAGUUAGAAAAAAAAAAAGGCGCCAAAUGGGACGAUCGCAGGCCCAUGUCGCAGUCUGCGGAGAGAUGGAGCUCAACAGUGUGCAAUUAAUAUCUGUACAUCAGCAGCUCUUAGAGGAGUGACAGCAAAAUGAUUACUACAGUGCUGAGCUUAAGAACCUGGGCUUCUGAGAUCUGUGUGUGUGUGUAUGUGUGUGUGUGUGUGUUUGUUGUAUUUCCUUCACAGUUAUUAGAUGUUCAGUACACUAGAUUGAACCUGAUUGCACAGUCAUAUAAUCGCAGCGAUCAGGCUAUAGAGCGUGGAAGUGGCUUAUUACGUUUGUGACAGAUAAGGGACAUUACAAUCUGUACAAUUCAUUCCUCACUGGCCAGUGCUGCUUCUUCUUCAUAUGAGAAUGCACCAUUUCCACACACAAACAAUUUAAUGCGAUCUAAUUGCUUGUGAUUUUCCUUGCGGGUGAUUAACAAUGGAAUUAAAUCCCCGCUGUGAUAGGCAAUUUUAUUCUCGGUAACCCCGUGCAUCCAGAGUAUGAGCGCGUCAUCACCUAUUUCAUUUCACCCGCAAGCACUUUCACAUGGUUUGGAAUGUUAAAUUUGGUGAAAAACAAUUAAAAGGAUUCUGUGUUUAAAAAAAAAAAAAAAAAAAGCUUAUGGGAUUAAAGCACUUUCACCUGCAUGUCAUCAAGACGUUGGUGCAAAAAUAACUACAAAUCAAAUCGAUAAAAUCCAAGCAGAUGGAUUCAGUAUUUUAGGCCAGAUUUGUUAAGCGAAAACAAUAAAAUAAAUUGUGUUGAAAUUCAGCAUGAAGCGAACAAAAACAAGCCAUUUACUACUGCGUUAGCACAUUUUGUAAUUCUAAGUGAAGAACUUAACCAUGUGAAUAACUUGUUUACACUUUCAUGAACAUUUUAAGCCGUUUUCAGACAUUUCUAUGCACAACAACAACAACAACAAACAAAGGAUUUCUGUGUGGAUGACAGAAAACUACAAGGAACACUUCCAUACCCCUGGAUUAUAAAACAAGAACAAGGGUCACGUGAUGCACAUCUGGUGAUGCACAUCUGUUUCCUUCCCAGAAUAAAAAUCAUUAAUAAUUUGUAAGCAGUUUCUCCCUGUUAUGGUCAGUACAUCCAUCUAAGCAGAGCAGAAAACAAGUAACAGCAUCCACGCCACCGUGGUGCACGAACAAGCCGUUAAACAAGCGAAUAUAAGAUCGGAACCCAAUUACUCACUCAUUUUGGGUCGGUGCUUUGAAUCCGAAUCCAGUUCCUCGAGCCGAUCCAGUUCCUCUUUUUCCCUCCAUCCUAAUUAGCUUCUUUCUGCGUUGGAAACCUGCAGCUCUGUUAGAUAGGAACACAAAGGGAUGCAAUUGGACCUCAUUAGUGGACUUUAAAUCACUUUAGACGCAAACUGUGGGGUAUAAAGCACAUUUUACAGACUACUAGACAAUUGUUUUACCUUCCAAAUGCCACAAAAUUAGCCAAAUAAAUAAAUCCUGAGCCACAAUACACCUGAGGUACUGAGGUAACUCCGCCCCCUGGGACUGGGUUUGUAGUCCGUUCCGUCGCUGAGUAUUCUGGUGUUGGAUUUAACAGCAGCAGUGGUGUUGAAGAGAAAAGACAACAGUUAAAGGGAUCCCGUGGAGUGCUCUGUACCCAGGUGUGAAAAAUACAAAGAAUUCAUUCAUCGUUCAUUUCCCUUCCUCUUUUUCCAUUGGGAGUUGCAGUGGCAACAAGCUGAGUAGCUUUUCUUCGGUCUCCUGAAUCCCCAGCCACAAAUUCCAGCUCCUAUUUGGGUAUCCCCAGAUGUUCCGUAGCCAGCUGUGAGAUAUCAUCUCCGCAGCCGGUCCUGGGUCUGCCCUCGGGCUACAUGUCCAGUACAAGAAGUGUUUGUAUUGGUUUUUAUCCACUGUUUCUGGAAAAAAAAAAAAACAUAAAAAA